rnacentral:rRNA from 1 species
UGGGGAAUUUUGGACAAUGGGCGCAAGCCUGAUCCAGCAAUGCCGCGUGCAGGAUGAAGGCCUUCGGGUUGUAAACUGCUUUUGUACGGAACGAAAAAGCUCUCUCUAAUACAGGGGGUGAAUGACGGUACCGUAAGAAUAAGCACCGGCUAACUACGUGCCAGCAGCCGCGGUAAUACGUAGGGUGCAAGCGUUAAUCGGAAUUACUGGGCGUAAAGGGUGCGUAGGUGGUGAGGCAAGUCGGAUGUGAAAGCUCGGAGCUCAACUCCGAAAUGGCAUUGGAAACUGCCUUGCUCGAGGGUCGGAGGGGGGACUGGAAUUCUCGGUGUAGCAGUGAAAUGCGUAGAUAUCGAGAGGAACACCAGUGGCGAAGGCGAGUCCCUGGACGACUCCUGACACUGAGGCACGAAAGCGAGGGGAGCAAACA